CUUGUGGGCUCCUGCCAACACGUUUUUCUUCGAAUGUUGUAUUAAACUCUAUUACAGUUAAAAAAUGUGAAAUUUCAAAUACAUUUGUAACACAAAUGACUUACAUCAUUUGAAAGCUUGCACAAAACUACAUAUAAGACAUUUAAACGGUUACCCGGGUUUUUCAAGUUCUUCUUCAGUUAUGAGCUGUUGAAUGCGUGUUUUCAGACUAGUACCCAGGAAUUUUGCGAGAUUUUGGCUUAUUUUUCACAUUUGAAACGGCAAUAACUCGAAAACCGCUUGAAAAUCCCAACUAUAAUGUAGUUUUUUGUUAGCUUUCUAUUGAUGCAAGUCAUUUGUAUCAGAAAUGUAUCAGAAAUUUCACAUUUUUUAACUGUAAUAGAGUUUAAUACAAUAUUCGAAGAAAAAUGUAUCGGCAGGAGCCCACAAGAAAUUUUAACGCGGCCAACAUACAGAAACGUACUUACUAGCCUUCAGGGCACAAUAUGAA